rnacentral:lncRNA from 1 species
ACUGAACAAAGAAUAAAGGGACUGCAGAGUAGUACCAGAUAGCUACUAGGCAAUGUGAUUUCUGCAGAGAAAAAGAAACAGGCAUGACAGUCACAGGCUGCGGUAGCUGAGUGAAUGAAAGCCUGUCUGAGAGCUAACAAAAGGAAUUGUUCAUUAUCAGACAUCAGCAAAGAAAACAAAAAUGAAACAAUCCCGGGACAUUUUCUCUAGGCACAGAGGUACGUCAGCAGCCUAUCCACCUUUGAUUCUUCAUCAAUAAGGGAAUGCAGGAUGCAAAUUGCCACACUCUGAGGCAGCUACCAUGCUGUGGAAGAAAACAUGGUAGUAUUUCACAAACAUUGCUACUCUAAGGUAAAUACCAUCACAAACCCCUGGUUGUGGAUCUUGAAUCUCAACUAAGAGAUAAGGAAGAUGGGCUUCAAUCAAUGAUAAGAGUCUUUUCAGAAGAAUGUACCUAAUUACAACUCUUUCAACUAAAUCAACAAUGCAGUUGGAUAAUUACAGUGUAGCAGAGCUAGAUAAAUCAGAGCCUCUAAAAACAGUACUUUUCAAAUAAGAAAACUGAGACAGUUUCAAGAUACCUCUUACUUAUCAAUUAAAGACUAAGUGUGAAAACCACAGGUUUUCUGGUCUCAGUAAUCAGUCAUCAAACACCACCGUGAAGAAACGGUUGCUGACUGUAGUAGCUGACUGCCCCAAACCAAGGAAUGGAUGGAAGGAGGACAGAAUUCAGCAACUCAGAGUUGCAUGCUCAUUUUAACAAAUAAAAACUUUUAUCUGGUG